CUCUGAGGCCGUGGCAGGGCACAGAUCAUGAAGAACAGUUGAUCCCAGACCAAAGCCCACAUAGAACUGAGGAUGUGUAAAGGGUAUAUGACUGGCUCACUCCUUGGUUUAAAGCCACUUUAAUCUAGGACGUUGGGGAAACCAGAGAGCAUGUCGAUUCCAUUAAGGAAAGAAGAGAAAUGCUUAUGGAAACAGUACCACCUGCAUAUCCAUUGGCCUCCCCUUCCCGACCUCCACCCUGCUGUUACCCAUCAGUCAUCUGAAAGGAAGAUCCCACAGAGUUGACAGAGUCCUUUACAGAGAAGAUCGUCAUAUGCUCUCCGUAGGUUACCUGUCUAUUUAAGAAGCAAACCUCUCGUCACCUGCUGCGGAGCAUCUCGAUGUUAGAAACCACACCACUAUUUUUAGUGUGUGUCCUUGUGCUUCUGCACGAUGAGUCAGGGUUCUCUUUUUAAAAAUACUUGGCAUUCCUCAGAAGAAAGAUAAACACAUUUAAUGUUCUCAGUUGCUACUAUUCUAAUCACCAAGUCAAGAGUUGCUUCUUUUCUUAGCUGCCUCCAGUGCCACAGAACUAUCUGGGCCUCUUCCUCUACCCCGCCUCGUGUGAUCACUCCUUUCAAAAGCAGCAGCCAAAGCAGAUGCGAGGGAGAUGCACUGGUGCUCAUAAAUUCAAGGAGCUAAAAUGGCAACAGCUGUGGCAAUUUCAGGAUUUCAGCAGGUAAUCAAGUGCAAACUGGGGUGCUGUCAAGCAACCUGGUGCUGAGGGGGCAGAGCCAGGAUGGACCCGGAUUCUGGAUUUCCACCAUGUGCCUGGUGGAUACCAUGCGGAUGUGGAGCAGGCAAUGCUGGGUGCAAAUCCCCGCCAGGAACUGUUCAUCCUGAAAAAAACCUGCUGCACAUUGCCCUGGUCACCUCAACGAAAAAUCCUGCCUGGAGGAGCAGGGUGCCCUGCCCUAUCUGCACUGGACACUUGGGACCACAGCCGCUGCCCUGUGAGCCUCACUUAAUUGAAUUGCAAAGUUAAAUGUCCAUGACACAGGAACAGAGCAGCUUUAAGAUUGGAGAAGGAAUGCAAAAUUCAAAUUCUCACAGCUUCUUACUGAAAAAUAUCACGAUCCACGUGGAUGAAGCCAACACUGUUGGAAAUGCCACUCCCACACUGCCCUCGGCUCUGCCUGUCUGCAAGGACUGAUGAUUUUCAACUGGAAGGACCAGCCACAGCCAGUCCCCAAACCGAUCAGAACCAAGCUGAGAAGUUUAUCCAGGGUUCCUUACCCAUCAUGCAUGAGAUACAGAAUUAAGUUGUCUGAAGCUUGGUUGCAGCUCAAGGAACUGCUGGUCUCUUGAGUAACUCUCUUAGUGUGUAAUCCAUAUAGCA
rnacentral:lncRNA from 1 species